rnacentral:misc_RNA from 1 species
GAUGAAGAACGCAGCGAAAUGCGAUAAGUAAUGUGAAUUGCAGAAUUCAGUGAAUCAUCGAAUCUUUGAACGCACAUUGCGCCCCCUGGUAUUCCGGGGGGCAUGCCUGUCCGAGCGUCAUUACAACCCUCAAGCUCAGCUUGGUGUUGGGCCCCGCCGCCCCGGCGGGCCCUAAAGUCAGUGGCGGUGCCGUCCGGCUCCGAGCGUAGUAAUUCUUCUCGCUCUGGAGGUCCGGUCGUGUGCUCGCCAGCAACCCCCAAUUUUUUUCAGGUUGACCUCGGAUCAGGUAGGGAUACCCUCUGAACUUAAGCAUAUCAAUAGCGGAGGA